CCUGGUGUCCAUAGAGCGGUGGAACCACCUGUUCCCAUCCCGAACACAGAAGUGAAACGCCGCAUCGCCGAUGAUAGUGUGGGGUCUCCCCAUGUGAAAGUAGGUCAACGCCAGGC
rnacentral:rRNA from 15 species